GUUUGUAAUUUCUUCUUUCUAGGAUUGGUUCUCUGUAAUUUUUGCUUAUUUUUAAAUUCUCUCUUUGUCUUUUGCUCUGAGAACGAUGUUACCGAUGUGUUUGCUUUCCAUGUUUACUUGCAUUUUAGCCUUUAUUUUUUUAAUUUUGAUUUUAUUUAAAUGUUAUGUAUUUUUUUUCUACUAAUUUUGAGCGUCUCAGCUUCCUGCUUCUUUACUUACAUUCUCUCAGGAUCCGGGGAGCCGAGCUCGGUCUCAGUCUCCCUGCUGUCAGGUGCCAGGUUGUGUCUGGUGGCUCUCCUUCGUAUGCGGAGCUGAUGGUUUUGCAUCAGCGCUUUUGCCAGUAGAGCCGACUAGCGUUUUCUCAGUUACGGCACCGUUCUUAGCGCCCAGUGUGACGUUUCCCAUUCGCCAGGUCCUUAUGUUCUCUGUGCUGUCACUUUCUUGGUUCUCGCACCGCUAGUAUCUGCUAAAGAACUUCCUAAACCAUGUUUUACUGUGCAGAACGGUGAUUGCACGGAGCCGCUGUACGCACUAGUAAUUUCAUAGCACCGUUAGCUGGCGCUUUUUCUGUCACAACACAUUAAAACGGGUUAAAAUACUGCAAGCGGAUUAAACACAUUAAGAGGAUUAAAACAUUAAAAUGUCUCAACACAUUUUUCUGACACAACACAUUUAAACGGAGUGGGUUCAUUCCUCCGAAGAGGAUGUUUAGGCGUGGAAGCACCGCUGUUUCCCAAGAGCACGGUUUCUCUCUGGCAGCACCACUUAUGGCACCAAAACAGAUUAAGGUUUCCACCCACCUCCCUGAAAUCUGAUUUGGACCCCCAGGAGGCCAGAAGAGUAUAAAAACGCAAAAGAUGUUGACUUCUGAGUCCCACAUACCCGGCGUCAGCUGGUGAAUGAAAGACACGAAGGAGCUGCUGUGGAGCUGCUGUCUCCCCUCGGAGUUUGGCAGGCCCGGGAUUCCGCAAAGGAGUUGGCGGGGCCAGAUGCCUCCAGCCCUGAGCUCAGUACAUUCGGUGUCCUGGAUGCUCCCUUCCUUUCCUUAUCACUGCGAGCUCUCCUGGGACGGCCUAGAUUUCCACUGGGACCUACUUUCGGCUCCCUGCGUGCUUCAUUGCUGAAACUGCCGGCGAAAAGAUCUCUUUCUCAAGCCUCAGAGCACCUUGAGGCGGGGCGCAGAGUCGCCCGCUCUGGAUCCCGCGCCAGAGACCCAGGAGGAUCCGCAGGAGCCCUCGGGAGAGCAGGAGGCUGCAUAGGGUCUCAACGUACUCCCGUCCCCGCAGCCUCCCUCGCAACUCGCCCCUCGCUCGGUAGGCAGACAACUCCAGCCGGACAGGUCCGUCCGAGGAGACCUUUCAGAGUGUCAGCCUACUGCUGACCUCGGAGCCACCAACCAAAGUUCCAAGACUGCUGGCUGCAGAUUGCAUGCUCUUGGGGCAGACGCCCUAAGAAUGUGUCCACCGAGUCCAAUGUGUCUUUGGAGUCCUGAGCCCUGAGAUUUCCGCUAAGACCUUCCAUUGGACGAUCUCUUGUAACAGAUGUUGUUACAGUAACACGUGAGUUCGCUCAAAUGCGAUGGAAGUUUUGCCUUUCGAUCAUUUUGUGCCUUUGUCUUUCCCCUUCUCAAUAAAAUCGUACACAAAUGUGAAAUUCUUGUUGCCUGUGUUCCUGUUGAUGUUGGGUAAGGAUGAGCCUCAGGGGCGGGGUGGCUGGUUGCUGGUGCCAGGACUAUCACGGGGACCCUGAAUCCCCUAGGUUUGCUGGUUGCAGGGCAAACAAAAAGUACAAGAAGUGUGUGUCUUAUGCAGAGAUUGGAGGGGAGAAUAGGCCAGGGGUCGUGCAUGGCUGGUGACUCACAGGCUGAGCCUACAGGAAAUCCGGUGAACAGGCAGCAGACCUGAGAACUUACUGCAGGAAAUUCUCCUGUUCUGAGGCCCUGGAACUUUUUCCCUCUGAAGGUUUGCACCUUUCUAUCUUGAGGCCUUGUUAAACUCAUAAUUUCUGGAAGUUUUCUUCUAGACUCUUUAAGAUUUUCUCCAUAGGCUCAUGUUCUGCAUGUAUGAAUAGUUUCAUUUUUUCACUUCCAAUGUAUAUGCUUUCUUACUCCUUUUCUCACCUUAUUGCACUGGCGAACAAUUCCAGUAC
rnacentral:lncRNA from 1 species